CCGUGAUUCCCAUGUGCUGGGCACUGGGCAGGCAGAGGAUGAAGUUAGUUUCUUCAGUGAGGGCUUAGUAUUGGUUUGCUUCAGCCCUCCCUGAGGAGGCGGUGGCUUUGGUGCUCAAGUCCCCCAGAGGGGUGCAGAAAAGUUGCUCAUUGAUCUUGUGGUUUGUGGUUGAGGACGAGAACCCAUUGAUCUGUACACUGGAGGGAAGGCACUGAUCACUGGAAUUUGGAAAUGUGUUGAGAGAUGACACUGUGAGACAACCAGAAGCCAGAAGGAAGCCCUGGAGGAUGGUAGCACAGCCCUACAAUAGGCUGAGGGCUGGUGACCUAUAUGUGAAAUCGUGCCUGACAGCAGUUGUGACUGCAAAUCAAACUGGAGAAGAAAUGAAGAAAUGCCUCAUGCUGAGGAUGUAACAUGGGGGAGAGAAUGAAACUAGUUUGUCGCGUAAUGCAAAAAUGUCUCUCUCUCUUUGUCACAUCUUCCACUUAUUAAAGGCAAUAUUGUUCUCUCCAGGCACUCAAAUGAAAACUCAGAAAUGAAAAGUCAGAAAGGCAUUAAGUGAUCUGUGCAUGGAUGCUACUGCCAUCUCCGGAAGAAAAUAUGUAUGCUUAAUCAGAAUCAUAACUUUAUAAAACUCUGGCUAAUGAUAUUCUCCUUCAGCCUGAGCACUUCUACUGGAACAGUAGAAGGAUAUUCAGAAUCUUCCUGUCUCCUGGAAAGUCCAUGGAUUUGGAGGCAGUAUCAUGGAAACCUUGAUUAGAGUCUGAUGUGAGUGGGAAUAUCUGUGAGCUGGAAAAUCUAUCCACAGACCACUGGAAACUGCAUAUUUUUAUUUAAACUCGAUCCUGCUGUGUUUAGUGUCAGAGCUAAGAAGUAAACCUGGUAUGAACAGAAGUGGAGCAGAAAAAUACAAUUUGGCUUUCCCAAAUCAGCGAACAGCAAAAUCAAGUGAGAUCCUGAAUGUAAAAAGUGAAUGCUUAAAAUGU